AGAGCACAUAAUACUAGCCACUUUACCUUCUUUAACACAACUUCUAAAUGGUACGUCAAAUGUAUCUUCAAUAUCUUGCUUGCUAACCUGUGUGCAUUGGCAUAAUUGUUAAAAUUAAUCCAUUCUUAGUUUUUUGAAGCUUCAUACAAAAUGAUACUUCCUCCGUUUCAUAAUAAAUGAAUUGUUGGAUUUUUGCACAAAGAUUAAGAAAAAAACAUUAAAGACAUAAAUUUAACACAAUUUUUCAUUUUUACCAAAAAAAAAAAAAGUUGACUUUGUAAUACUUUUUCAAAAGUUAAUUGGUUGUCAAAUCAUAAGGAUAAAUUUGAAAAAAAAUUCAAUGAUUCACUUAUUUUGAAACACCAAUAAAUACCCCAACAAUUCACUUAUUCUGAAACGGAGGGAGUAUCUUUGUAACUGUUUUUUGGAUGUUCCGUUCAAAUGAUCCAAAUGCAUCCGAUUACUAUUUUACCAGGAAAUGAAGCCCAAUGCAUGCAAUUGAUCAAACUUAUAUAUAGCCAGGAAAAAGAAAAUAAUUGGAGUUUUUAUUAGAAUUUAAAUUCUCUUAAAUGCAUAUGUUCAAUCUAAAGCUGCAGUUGUGGUGCAGGUACACACACCAAUUUGUAUGCUGGAUUUGUGUUCAGUCAAGACCAUUCAGUGGGAAGAGCCACAAUUUCACUUGGAAUAUUGAAAAUUACUACUAAACAAUAUUAAUAUAUUCCAUAUAACCUCCUUACCUACCGGAGACAGAUAUAGGGUAAAACUAUUACUCACGUAUUCAUUUGAACUCAGUAAAUUGAUUCGAACUUUGUAUAUGUGUUGAGAAUUCGUGAAAUUAGUAAGAAAAUUGAAUUGCACUCA
rnacentral:lncRNA from 1 species